AAGAGAAGGAAAAAAAUACGUAUAGUUGUACACUGGACAAAUCUCCUGCAGAGCAACAAGAUUUCCUAGUGGAAAAAUGAUUAAUAAUUCAAAAAUUCCCUUAAUCUUCAGAUUUGUACAUUUUAAUUAAAUUGGAAAUUGCUGACAUGUAAUUAUGUACUCAGAACAAUUAAGUGAUUCCGGUCCACAAAUUACCUGUUAAAGUAAACAAUGAGCCUGUCAUAACUGGCAUUCUCUGUUAGUAGCAGGAUGGAUAACACUGUCUGUGCUGUUUCAUUACUAAGAUAUUAAGAUUGAAUAUUUGUGGGAGGAGUGAAAAAAUGACCUAAUUUCUCCAUAUUAAAAGCGUGAAUUAUUUAAUAAUACUCAUUUUUAAACAUAAUUACAUCAUCUGCUGGGAUUCCAUGCCCUUCUUGAUGUAAAAUCAUUUAAAGUCAUCCACUCCUCAACUAAGGGAAAUAGGGCCUUUCCUUCAAAUUCUUUCAAAGUAACAAAUACGAGCUCGGAACGUAAGGUUGAAUACAUCUCUCUACUGCAUUCUCAUCUGUCUCCCUCCUCUGGAAAUUGUCCUCAAUACAAGCGAAAGGGGGACUUCUUCCUGGUUAUUAAAAUCCAAAUAAAAUAAAAAUAAGAAAUAAAAUGUCACUUAAAACAUUGAGAGUAAAGACACUGAGAAACCAGGCUUGUUUUUGUGGUUGUUUUUACUGCUUCCAAACUGCCAUGGAGGUCUGCCAAAAAGAACUGAAUUCUCCUUGUACCAUGGAACAGAGUCUUUUGGGAAAAAGAGAGUAGAUCUUUCAUAGAUCUCCCUAUACUGUACAUUCAUACACAUUACUUCUUCUUGCAGCUGACUCAGCAACAAAGGUUCUCCUGUUUUCUGCCUCACUUCGUAUCACACCAUUGUGCCCUGAAGCAGCUAUGGGUUCUUACAAGAUCAUCCAGCACACAAGUAUCAGUGAGACAGGAGCGUGCAAUUCAUGAAGCAGAGGGCCCAAGCCUCACCAGCUGGGGUCAUUACAAAUAUUUCUACUUUUUGGAUGGAGAAACUGAGGUCUUGAAUUCUUGAAAGACUAGCUGGAAGUCCCAAUAUGAAGUUCUAAUACAAGGUCACAUUCCUUUGGAUGGCUUCGUUCCUCUAAAUGCUCAGCUCUGAAUAAAUACAAAUGAAAGCAUUGAUGUCUUCGGGAAAAUUUUGAUGAGAAUAAAAGAAUCAAAACCAGUUCUCAGAUCAAUCUAAGAAUCCUGAGCUGCUUUGGAGUCUCCAAAACUUGGAAGAAUUUUCACGAUACAGGACCAACUACAGAACUUCUUGACACUACUGCUGGUUUCCCGUUUGAAAGACCCUGUAGCAACGUGUUACAUGUAGGUUCCAGCAGAGUUUUUGAGGCUUACUAUGUGGAGACCUUAAAGAAUUUUCUUCCAAAUUGACCUGCAGUCUAGUUGCAUUACUUCGUAGCAGUGAUUUUCUGGCUAUCGGAUAUUCUCAUCCUCUAUAGAUACCUCAAUAGAAAUGCAUAUCAGCAUGAUACCCAACUGGUGUAGGAGUAAAAACCCUAACGUCUGAGUCAGAUGACAUUAGUUCUCUAUUCCUGGCAAGUUAUGGUAGCAUUUCUGUGCUUCAGUUUUCUCACAUGCAAAGAAGUGUAAAUGAAAUCAGAUGCUAUCAUAUGUCUCUAACUUUCUAGUGUUCCUUGCCCGACAGCAGUUCUUUUGUGGAAACUUCUCUUCAGUUCCUACCUGAUGUGAGCUUUUCCUCCCACAAGGUCUCCCUGUAUAAAAAGCAGAGUUCUUAAAGAAGACUCAAUAAUAUCUUUCCACUUAAGUGUUUAUUUGGGUAGCUUAAGAAGUUUUAGAUACCUAGAAACCAAUUUCUAUAAGAUGGUAUUCCAAACAUUGGUCACAUUUUAAAAUGUCUACUUUACAUUAAAACAAAAGUGAUCUCCCUUGGCUUAGAGGGGUCUAAAUAGAAAUUUACAGUAAAACAAAUCAUCAUUCCAAUCAAACUACUUUUUUAUAAUCAUAAAUAAUCUAGAAUAAAAGUGUACUCCUGUAUAAUUACAAACACUGAGGCAAUUAAAAUAUUGUUUUUACAGGGAAUAUGUCUAUGUAUCAGUACCCUCAAGUUUAACUGUCCCAAACUGUUUUGUUUCUUCUGCUAUUGACAAAAAUAAUAAUAUAUGUUAAUAAUUAUUCAGAAUUUAUUGUUGUCAAUAUUCUAUAUAAGCAUAAUCAUAUGUCAUCCUUAACAAUUAUGACAAUCUUGUAAGUAGCAAAUAUUAUUAGACCUAAGAAGAAAACAGAAAAAAAAAAAAAAAAGCUUAGGUAACUUGGUCUGGACUGAAAAGAAAGUUUUUUGUUUUUGUAAAUCAAGCCCUCGG